CUGUAAUCACCCUCAACGCAGCAACACGUAUUCCUUUUCUCUCUGCUCCCGAUACCUUUUUGGGAAGCUUGGCAAAUUCUUUACAAAACACUUCCUUGAGCCAGGAGCUGUGAGUUGCUUGCUGGUUUUUGGUGGAGAUGUUGCAUACACAGAAACAAGAGAGCUCUUGGGAGCACCUAAUUGAGUCGGACAGGAAUGGGAAGCAGUGAUGUAACACAAAGCCAGUGCAGAAUGGAGCAAAAAGCAACAGCUUCUACAGACCCGCUCCUUCUGUGCUGCGUUAAAGGCUCUUCCUAUUUGGAAGAAGAAGCGUGAGGAUUUCUCAGGAAGCUGUGGAGAGAGCUGGGCCAGGCUGACAAAGAGGCAGCGGUCAGGUAGUGUUUAAUUUCAUGGGAGCUGGGUUCAGUCAUGCUUCCCCCACUGACGUCAGUGCAAGAAGAGCACUUUCAGCCAGUUCCUACCUGCUGAGCCCAUAUGUCCACUGGGAAGGAUUUGGCAGACAUCUCCACGUAGAGAUAUAUUUACUCCUAAUUUCAGCAGAAGCUUUCAGCACAACGUUUAUCUGCAGAUGAAGGAUCACCAAAUGCUUACAACUGAAGGAAAUGAACAUCAAAGGUAAUCCUGGUAGCAUCGACAGAUUUCACUAUUCCUGCAGGGUGGCUACCACAUGGCCUGGCAUCACAUCCAGAGGAGCCCUCCUUUGGACUUUUCUUUAUCCAGAGAGGGGAAAAGGAACAGAAACCCCAUGAAGUCCCAGCAGCU
ensembl:lncRNA